rnacentral:rRNA from 1 species
CAAUAGCGUAUAUUAAAGUUGUUGCAGUUAGAACGCUCGUAGUCGGAUUUCGGGGCGGGCCGACCGGUCUGCCGAUGGGUACGCACUGGUCGGCGCGUCCUUCCUUCCGGAGACCGUGCCUACUCUUAACUGAGCGGGGGCGGGAGACGGAACGUUUACUUUGAAAAAAUCAGAGUGUUUCAAGCAGGCAGUGCGCUCUUGCAUGGAUUGGCAUGGGAUAAUGAAAUAGGACUUUGGUGCUAUUUUGUUGGUUUCGAACACCGAAGUAAUGAUUAAAAGGGACAGUCAGGGGCACUCGUAUUCCGCCGAGAGAGGUGAAAUUCUCAGACCAGCGGAAGACGAACCACUGCGAAAGCAUUUGCCAGGGAUGUUUUCACUG